rnacentral:rRNA from 1 species
GUGUCAGCAGCCGCGGUAAUACGGAGGAUGCGAGCGUUAUUCGGAAUCAUUGGGUUUAAAGGGUCUGUAGGCGGGCUAUUAAGUCAGGGGUGAAAUCUUACAGCUUAACUGUGAAAUUGCCUUUGAUACUGGUAGUCUUGAAUAUUUGUGAAGUUUUUGGAAUGUGUAGUGUAGCGGUGAAAUGCUUAGAUAUUACACAGAACACCGAUUGCGAAGGCAGGAGACUAACAAAUGAUUGACGCUGAGAGACGAGAGCGUGGGGAGCGAACAGGAUUAGAAACCCGCGUAGUCC